rnacentral:lncRNA from 1 species
GGAGAUGAUCCCCAGGGCCAUCUUGGAAACAGUUUUUGAAGUUGGUAGAGUCUCGGGCCCGCUUAACUGCUGAAAGAGUAGGAAGGGGUCCGUUUCAUUAGCGCGUUCAACCAAAGAGCGCUGUUAGGUUUCCUGCACCACAAGGUUCCUUUCACUUAAAAAAAUUUUUUUUUAUAUUACACCAUCUUUAUUUGUACCUUACCGUCUAAGGCUAUCAAUCAAACUUCAGUAAGAACAGUUUCAGCAUCAACUAACGAACAGUAGCCAAACCAGAGAGCAGUCAAAAGUGUUUUAAAGGGAGCAGCAUCAGCUGAUGUUCUGCCAAGUCUCUGGGUGUUCAGGACCAUGGUCCCCCGGCACUUCCAGGCCCCUGUGGGCUGCAGGUGGAUCCCCAGGAGCCAAAGGGCCGCUCAGGAAAGGGUGGAACUUGGCCUCGCAAUCAGCUGGCUUCUGCCUAUUAUGGUCAUCUUCUUUCCAGAGGUCUUGCUAUCUCAGUGGACGUGGCUGUCAUCCAGCCGUCCUGGGCUGUUUUCUCAUAGAAGAGGAUCUCCCUCUGAAAACUGUGUCAUCCUUCAAUUCCUGGGCCAAGUCUGGGGACACAUCUUUUCUUAAAGCUUGCUGGUAUGACGAGCAGUUCCCAUUUUCCUGCACUUUACGAAGUCUCUGAGGUGCAAGCAGUAGACAUCCUUCUCCAUGGACUCCCCCUGAGGCUGCUUCAUGUGUUUUCAGGGCAGUUCAGGCAGAUCGGAAACCACUGGCUGCAGCUUCGGGAUGUCCCUCUCCAGCUGUGCCCUUGAACCCUGCAGAGAGACCUGCUCGCUGAGCAGACCUUGGGCUUGUGCUGUGAGUUCUGUACUCCUUUGGGUUUCUUCUCACAAUCGUAUGUCUGCUUUACCAGUCUUUCCCUCGGGACAUUCGAAGGAAGCACCUAAAUUACCAUUGUCAUCCAUGCUUUCAGAGGGACUUGCGGCCACGAUGCUGGGGGACCACCCUGUUCUGCUUCCCUGUUCCCCUCCACUGCCAAGUCCUCAUUUUCCAUGUCGUCUUUCCUGGUGCAGAUGAAGGGUGCUCAGCAGAGCGUGAGCCACCAGGGAAGCCACUCGCCUACUCCAGUUCGAAUAUUGGGGACUUGAGGCCAUCUUGUCUUUUUUGUGUGUGUGUGGCGUCUGAUUUACAACUUCUUGGUCGGGCAGCUCUGUGGGUUGCUGAUGGUCCAUGCUGUCAUUCACAUCGUCCGUGGUGUGCACUGGAAGAUCUCCAUGCUGUGAAGCGUGCAGGAUGUGCUUCACAUCAGUCACUUGGGGAAGUUCAGGAGGCUGCUUUUUCAUGCUUUUUUCAGAAGCUCGCCUAGGUUAGGUCCUGAUCGGAAGACCUGCUCAUUUCCAUUAGAACCUUCAAGCAGAGUGUUUGGAGCAAUCAAGGACUGGCCCCAGCAUGGAUAACAGGUAGCUACCACUGGUGUGGGCUGCUGGCUGCAUCUUGGCGCAGGCCUUUCUGUGGGCCUCACCUUAGACUGAAGCCCUUUGGGCCAGCCCUUCCCUCCUUCUCACUGCGUGUCGUCUCCUGACCAGAGAGGCCAUCACAGCGGUGCACGCCCAGCUCACCCAUAGUAUCCCUAGGGUCACUGGCACUGGUCCCAGGAUUCUGUACAUCACUACUUACUGCUGCCCACAGGUGGGCCAGCAGCAGUUGAGGAGGCAUUUCGUGGUGAGCAGCAGGUCCUUCAUGGCUCUUGAGGGCUCCACAGCUCUUCCUCUUUUCUCUACUGGUAUGUGGGUCACAACUGACCACUCAGAACCCUGCAGAGUGUUCCACCUCUAACACAAACAAGGGCUCGCCAACCAGGGCAAACCAUCCAUUAUGCUGGGGGAGGAAAGGCACCGCAAAUUCUAGAAAACUGUGUCCCUGAUUUUGCUGUGCAAAUAUAAAGUGACAUUACUUAACACAGUGCCUUGGAAGAGGGGAAAGAGUUCACGGCAGCCCCCAGCUCAGGCCACUGCAGGUCCCACCUGGCCUUACAGCAUAGCUAGAGGGUCAAAGCCAGUCAAAGCCCCGUGUCCACGCAUGAUCCUCUCAGGGCAGCGUGAUGGCCCGUCCCUGGUGGGGCUCAUUACCCUGAUUUCAAGUUUCCUUCUGCUGCAGGGAAGCCUGGUCCCGCCUACAAAGAGACUGUCUACCUUGCUAGAUUGAACUAUAGGACUAUGUUUUCUUCAUCUCUGUAACCCCAGAAGCUCUCCAGAGACCCUUAUACACUAGGGACAUGGU